UACAGAGGUCCCAAGCGUUGUUCGGAUUCACUGGGCGUAAAGGGUGCGUAGGUGGUCAGGUAAGUCGGAUGUGAAAUCUCCGGGCUUAACUCGGAAAGGUCAACUGAUACUGUGCGACUAGAGUGCGGAAGGGGCAACUGGAAUUCUCGGUGUAGCGGUGAAAUGCGUAGAUAUCGAGAGGAACACCUGCGGCGAAGGCGGGUUGCUGGGCCGACACUGACGCUGAGACACGAAAGCGUGGGGAGCAAACAGG
rnacentral:rRNA from 1 species